CUCAGACAGUAAAGUCUGCCCUCAAGGCAGGAGACCCGGGUUCAAUCUCUGGGUUGGAAAGAUCCCCUGGAGGAGGAAAUGCAACCUACUCCAGUAUUCUUGCCUGGAAAAUCCCAUGGACAGAGGAGCCUGGCGGGCUACAGUCUGUGGGGUCGCAAAGAGUUGGACACGACUGAGCAAUUAACACUUGUAUGAUGUGCUCAAAAGUUGUACUAUAGUAGAUGCAAGCUACUGCAUAAAAAAUAGAUAAACAAGGACCUACUGUAUAGCACAGGUAACUGUAUUCAAUAUCUUGUAAUAACCUAUAAUGGAAAAGAAACAGAAAGAAUAUAUAUGCAUACAUAUAACAAAGUCAUUUUGCUGUACAUCAGAAAUUAACACAACAUUGUAAAUCAAUGAUACUUUAAUUUAAAAAAAUUUUUUUAAGUUUUAAAGCAGACUUUGAAGAAGGAAGUCAGUAAGUAGAAGAUAAUUCAUUUUUACUUAUGUUGAUUUGGGAUUGUUUGUGGAACACCCACGUAAAGACGUUCAGAUAGCCAAGAUUUUGGAAGGGAGCUGUGGUCUGGAGGUGUAGAUUUAACAAACAUCUUAAGUGGGAGCUGAAGCUGCUGAAGGGGAGGACACCACAGGGUGGAAAGGGGCAGGGCUGGGGAACAGUGCAGAGGAAGACACAGUAGGGAGUGAGGGCUGGGCAGCUCAGAGCCGGGCUCAGAAGCAGAUGGGGGCUGGCAGCACAGCAGCAGGUCCUGGAAAUUUGAACUAGUGAAAUACAUCAGCAGCUGGCAGGGUUUACCGUAUUUCAGAUGGCUUUAGACUGUAGAUCUGUAAUGCACUAGUAACAAUUUUCUAAUGACACAGGGUUGAUCACUAGGAGAUGAGUGUCAUCAAGAAUGACUUCUGCUUUGCUCACCAAAAUCUCCCGAGGCCCUGUUUUUGGAAGGAACCUGCCCCCCUGGGCUGGGCAGUGGCUUCGAUGGUUGAAGGCUGGUCAGGACAAAGCCAUCUUCACUGAGCCUUCCUGCCAUCUCACCUGAGGGUCCAGAGAAGAUGGUGAGGCCAGGGGCAAGUGAGAGGGUUCUCACA
rnacentral:lncRNA from 1 species